UGGUCAAUGAUAAGAUCGUUAUAUUGUCUGAAGAGAGAUGAUGACUUAAAAACUAUGCUCAAUAUGAUUACGCUGAAGUCCA
rnacentral:snoRNA from 1 species